AUGACAAUACAAAAGUGCUUCUGGGUACAAAAGGAAUUUAAGACCUUCGUUCUGGCGAAGUGCUAACGCUCCAACGGCGUCUGCUGUAAAAACUCUCUACCCGGGCUAAUUCAUAUCUUCAACUCGUUGGAAAAAACCAAAUGUUUUAAUAUACCUCCACUGACACAGCAUCACAAUUUCUUUAGGAACUUACCCUUUAUCAAGGGAUUUACAGGGGUUUUUGAGACUUCUCAAGGGUUUGUUUAUAGAUCAAGGGUAUCUAAAUUUGGUAACAAAAUUGUUGACACAUUGACCUUUUCAACCCCCUUAAGUUAACCUAUUCGCUCCCUUCCUCCCCCCCCCGUCAAAUGGUGUAUCGUGAUUUAAGAAACAUUGAAUGGGGUAGGGGGGCUUGUCUGUGAUUUAGAUUGUGGUAGAAAUAGGAGACUGAGUUCUCUACACAUAAAUAAAACUCCUAAAAUUUUGGCGCUGAGGGUAUUUUUACUAAGCUUGCGACUACGCUAUUUAAAGCAUCUGUUUCUGUCUCAGUUAUAGCAAAGGAAAACAUUUUUGCGCACAAUCCUUUUCGUUUUCUGUCCACAUGUCCACGCUGAUGCGUUCUUAUUUCAACACGAGCCACAUGAAGCUAAGUUUUCCAAAAGUUUUCCAAAAGUUUUCCAAAUCCUUAUUGGUUACAAGUCCCCUACUCGUUCGAGUACCAUCGCAAGGGACUCGGAUGGAAAGGAAAUGAAAAUGGCCGCCGGCGGUCGGUCGAGGUGAGAUCUUAACUUGGUCAGUGACGUCCUGUAUAUGCUCUGUUCUCGUUUUUUUGUCACAAUAAUGGAUGUAAAUGUCCAAAGCUCUAUCCCAUCGUGGUCAUACGCUCCCGUGAAGCGCAUGUUUCCUUCUGAUCAUCCGUUCUUCGAGGAAGGAGAAUUAUUUUGCAAUGUUUUAAAGAAAGAUCUGGACAAUAGUGAGGAAGCUGAUAGCUUCAUGCAAAGGGCUGAAUUUCAAUGUGACAUUCCAGGUUGUGGAGAAUGGUUUCCUAGUGUUCCAAGCUACGAGGCACACUAUAACAGUCUGCAUCGUUACUGUUGUCAAAAGUGUCAGCGUUCUUUUCCAUCAACUCACCUGUUGGAGAUUCACGUGCUAGAAAACCAUGACACAUUAUUCAACAUGAUAGCCGUGAGGAAAAACCUGUAUAGAUGUCUCGUAGAGAGUUGUCCUGAUAGAUUUUCAAGCGACGAGGAAAGGAAGGAUCAUCUAGUUUCUUUUCACAAGUAUCCCUCGGACUUCAGAUUCAACCGUCCAAGCAGACAACAACGAAAAAACAAAAGUAUGCACUCUUCAGGUGAAGCAAUGGACACCUCUGAUAUACCUCAGAAACUAACUUCACUCUCUUUGGUAGGAACCUGCAUCCUUGACCAAUGCAACACCAAAACAAAGGCUACCAAAGACAAUAUGCUUUGGCAGAGGAUCCAGCAGAACUUUCCAAAAAAAUGUCAGCAAAAAUAGCAAAAAAAAGUCAAAAAAGAAGGAUGAUAAAAAAGACCAAGGUGCUUCUGGAGAGGUUACAAUGAGUGAAGUUAGCUGAUGGCAUGUUAAUAAUAACCUCUUUUUUAAGUCAAAUUUAUGUUUAGAUGUACAGUAUAAUUAUGUCAAAAAUUAUAAUAAAAUAUCAUCAGUAAUAAAUUUAA